AAUGAACGCUGGCGGCGCGCCUAAUACAUGCAAGUCGAGCGAGAAGACGUAGCAAUACGUUUGUAAAGCGGCGAACGGGUGAGGAAUACAUGGGUAACCUACCCUAGAGUGGGGAAUAACUAGCCGAAAGGUUAGCUAAUACCGCGUACGCUCCUUGGACUUCGGUUCAGGGAGGAAAGCGAUGCCGAGGGUAUCGCGCUCUUGGAUGGGCUCAUGUCCUAUCAGCUUGNGGUGAGGUAACGGCUCACCAAGGCUUCGACGGGUAGCUGGUCUGAGAGGACGAUCAGCCACACUGGCACUGCGACACGGGCCAGACUCCUACGGGAGGCAGCAGUAAGGAAUAUUGCGCAAUGGGCGAAAGCCUGACGCAGCGACGCCGCGUGGGGGGA
rnacentral:rRNA from 1 species